CCUGUGUGAGCACAGCCAGCAGCCCUUGCUGUGGCAGUGCUGGGCACUGUGCCCCAGCCCCGCUGCUCUGCUCAUGUCACGCUCACAUCUGUCGGGUGUCAGCUGAGUGUGAGGUAAUGUCUGGGCAAAAGCAUGCCAUGGAUCUAAUGCAAAAGACUUUAAAGUCCAUGGUCAGGAAUGGAGAAGGAAACAGAAUUCGAACAGCCCAGUGUGGAAAGCAGCUGUGUCGUGGAGGACUGGAUGGGAUGUCUGUGCCAAUGCAGGAGAGGACUGUGACCAGGACACUGUCCCCAGGCAUCUCUGCCUCGGCAGAUGGCCAGGUAAUUGGUCUGAGAAGGAUGGAGGGAAUGCCCGUGAGACCACACCAGAUAAGAACAUCAGGGAAGGUGACAACCGUACGUCCGUCUCCAAACUGAGAAGAUAUAGUGUCAUGUUCUUCACUGCACUGUAAGCAGUUAAUAGAAUAAGAACAAAUUAAAUGGGAAUCCAGUAAGACUUGGAAGGCACAUCCGUUUUUUUAUGCUAACAAAUAAUCUUGCUGCUACUUUCACAGAGCCACAGAGAAUGGCUGUGGUUGGAGACUGCCUGCUCUCAUGGAGAAAAUGUUCACUCUCACACAGGCUGAGGUCUGAGUAUCUCCACAGCCUCUCUGGACAGCCUACCCAGUGCCAAAUAUUCAACAAACCUUCUCACUUAAGAUGCAAAAAGCAAUCUUGAUUUAAAACAAACACAUAAAUCUCCAUUUUUUCUGGUUUCCUCAUGCUGUUAUUCCCACUGUGUAAUCUGAGCAUAAAGGAAAGACCGCUGCUGAACUUUUUGAAGCCUUCAUUUAGCAUCUGUAUGAAAAACAUUAAAAGAAAUAAUACGAACAAGUUGAAUGUAUAUAAGAAGUCUUAGAAGAUUGUAUCACAGAUAAGGAAAAUGCUUAGAAUUUUCUUUUUGUAUGUGUAAUGCCUUUGCAACCUACUCGCAGCAUUGUUCCCUGCAUGAGGGCCCCCUAAUUAUUUCAUCAUGCAGCAGGAAAUUCUGGUAGGUUAUAUAUAAACAGCCCGAGGCAGGGACCUCUUCAUCAGUUAGAGCGUGACAUCUGACAUGUGUGCAGCCUGCUGCUUGCAUGGCACCAUCACCCCGGCAGCCCGAGCGAGGAGGAAUGCGGGAGCAAUUGGGAGCACGGGGAUAACUGGAGGUGCCAAACUGUUCCUCUAAUCCAAGGCUAAAACUUCAUCUCUUCCCUUUCUGGCGGCCACAUCCCACCUCUCUGCAGCAGCAGGCGUGGUGACAGUGCGCCAGCAGCCGUGACAAGGGCUGGGUUCCCAGCCCUGUGCC
rnacentral:lncRNA from 1 species